rnacentral:rRNA from 1 species
UACAGAGGUCUCAAGCGUUGUCCGGAUUUAUUGGGCGUAAAGAGCGUGUAGGCGGCCAGGUAGGUCUGCUGUGAAAACUCGAGGCUUAACCUCGAGCUGUCGGCGGAAACCAUUUGGCUAGAGUCCGGAAGAGGAGAAUGGAAUUCCCGGUGUAGCGGUGAAAUGCGCAGAUAUCGGGAAGAACACCCGUGGCGAAGGCGGUUCUCUGGGACGGUACUGACGCUGAGACGACGAAAGCGUGGGGAGCGAACAGG